rnacentral:lncRNA from 1 species
AGCUUGAACUCCAUUACCCAUUUUAGCUGGAUCCGUAACUGAUACUGAUAGAAAUGGGGCUUGUGAAGAUGGGGAUCUAGGGCUCUGUAAUGACCCUGAUCCACUCCUUUGCUGCACCAUUUUACAAUUUUCAAAAUCAAUCAAAACUACAAAUUACAAAAAUUAGAGUACAAAAAAGAAAGUAAGAUUCGUGAUAAUGGCGGAAAGAUAAUUACCAUAGUGUUCAUAGCUGUUUUGCUGGUUAGAUUACCGGAGAACGGUGCGAAGAUGUGUAGAACUGUCAACUCGCGACUCGUGAAUCGUGACUUUGGCCUUUUAGUGAGGAGUCGUACACAUGUGGAACAUAUGAAGAGUCUUAAUUGUCAUUUUUACAAAUUUCACAAACACCAAUUUCAAUCGGAUACUGUUUUUU